ACUUCCUUAACAUGUUGGAUGUUAAUUUCACAGAUGGUAGCUCGUCCUUUUGGCUCCUUAGCCAAGCAUGUCAUCAACUGUCUGAACUGUGGUUGCUUCCAUAGUGAUCCAAGAAACUGAGAGCACCCUUCCCCUGCCUGCUCUCCAGCUUCCAGGAACCCAUCUCUCUCACCUGGCCACCCUCACUCUCGCCAGUGGGACCCCUCCACUGGGCUGAAGGAAUCCCUGUUUUCUCUGAACCAGAUGUUUUCCCCCAGGGCUCUGCUUUAAGUCGGUGGAGCCAGAAGAAUUCUAAGC